rnacentral:rRNA from 1 species
AUUGAACGCUGGCGGCAGGCCUAACACAUGCAAGUCGAGCGGAUGAAGGGAGCUUGCUCCUGGAUUCAGCGGCGGACGGGUGAGUAAUGCCUAGGAAUCUGCCUGGUAGUGGGGGAUAACGUCCGGAAACGGGCGCUAAUACCGCAUACGUCCUGAGGGAGAAAGUGGGGGAUCUUCGGACCUCACGCUAUCAGAUGAGCCUAGGUCGGAUUAGCUAGUGGGUGGGGUAAAGGCCUACCAAGGCGACGAUCCGUAACUGGUCUGAGAGUAUGAUCAGUCACACUGGAACUGAGACACGGUCCAGACUCCUACGGGAGGCAGCAGUGGGGAAUAUUGGACAAUGGGCGAAAGCCUGAUCCAGCCAUGCCGCGUGUGUGAAGAAGGUCUUCGGAUUGUAAAGCACUUUAAGUUGGGAGGAAGGGCAGUAAGUUAAUACCUUGCUGUUUUGACGUUACCAACAGAAUAAGCACCGGCUAACUUCGUG